ACCACCUGGACCCCGAGGUGUGCAAGGAGAACAGGGUGCCACUGGACUGCCUGGUAUCCAGGGACCUCCGGGCAGAGCGCCGACGGACCAGCACAUCAAGCAGGUUUGCAUGAGAGUUGUGCAAGAGCAUUUUGCAGAAAUGGCAGCUAGCCUCAAGAGACCAGACACAGGAGCUUCUGGUCUUCCUGGGAGGCCUGGUCCCCCAGGGCCUCCCGGCCCUCCAGGAGAGAAUGGUUUCCCUGGUCAGAUGGGAAUCCGUGGCCUUCCAGGCAUUAAGGGUCCCCCUGGUGCUCUUGGCUUAAGGGGACCUAAAGACUGCCACCUCUGGGGCUAGAGAGAUGGCUCAGAGGUGAAGUUCGUCAGCUGUUCUUGCAGAGGACCAAAGCUCAGUUCCCAGUCCCCACAUCAGGAAGAUCGUGUGCACCUGUAACUCCAGCUCCAGGGGAUUCCAUACCAUCUUCUGGUGUUUGCAGGCAGCCUGCAUACACAUGCACAUGCAUACACAAAGAAACACACAUAAAACAUGGUAAAAUAAAUAUCAAAAUAAACGAUGCCCCCUUGGUGAU
rnacentral:lncRNA from 1 species